rnacentral:tRNA from 1 species
GACCUUGUAGUGAAAUUCAUGAUGAGUUGCAAGCUCAUUGAUGCACAUUGACAGUGCCGGGGUCU